AGGACGAACGCUGGCGGCGUGCUUAACACAUGCAAGUCGAGCGGUAAGGCCUUUCGGGGUACACGAGCGGCGAACGGGUGAGUAACACGUGGGUGAUCUGCCCUGCACUCUGGGAUAAGCCUGGGAAACUGGGUCUAAUACCGGAUAUGACCUGCUCUCGCAGUGGGGGGUGGGUAGGGAAAGUAUUUAGUCGGGUGACGAGGGUAGUCGGGGCCCCGCGGUCCUAUCGAGUCCGUUUGGUUUGGGGUAGGGGGUUAAUCGGGACCCUACCGAAGGCGACGACGGGUAGCCGACCUGGAGGA
rnacentral:rRNA from 1 species